rnacentral:rRNA from 1 species
UCUGAUGCAGCAACGCCGCGUGGAGGAUGACGCAUUUCGGUGUGUAAACUCCUUUUAUAUGAGAAGAAAUUUGACGGUAUCAUAUGAAUAAGCACCGGCUAACUCCGUGCCAGCAGCCGCGGUAAUACGGAGGGUGCAAGCGUUACUCGGAAUCACUGGGCGUAAAGGACGCGUAGGCGGUUUGAUAAGUCAGAAGUGAAAUCCUACAGCUUAACUGUAGAACUGCUUUUGAAACUAUUAGACUAGAGUUCGGGAGAGGCAAAGGGAAUUUCUGGUGUAGGGGUAAAAUCCGUAGAGAUCAGAAGGAAUACCGAAAGCGAAGGCGCUUUGCUGGAACGAUACUGACGCUGAGGCGUGAAAGCGUGGGGAGCAAACAGGAUUAGAUACCCUGGUAGUCCACGCCCUAAACGAUGUACACUAGUCGUCGCAGAGCAAGUCUCUGCGGUGAUGCAGUUAACACAUUAAGUGUACCGCCUGGGGAGUACGGUCGCAAGAUUAAAACUCAAAGGAAUAGACGGGGACCCGCACAAGUGGUGGAGCAUGUGGUUUAAUUCGAAGAUACACGAAGAACCUUACCUGGCCUUGACAUAGUAAGAAUCUUCCAGAGAUGGAGGAGUGCUGCUUGCAGAACUUAUAUACAGGUGCUGCACGGCUGUCGUCAGCUCGUGUCGUGAGAUGUUGGGUUAAGUCCCGCAACGAGCGCAACCCUCGCCAAUAGUUGCUAACAGGUUAAGCUGAGAACUCUAUUGGGACUGCCUUCGCAAGGAGGAGGAAGGUGAGGACGACGUCAAGUCAUCAUGGCCCUUACGGCCAGGGCUACACACGUGCUACAAUGGUUGGGAUAAAAAGAAGCGAUACCGCGAGGUGGAGCCAAUCUCAAAACCCAAUCUCAGUUCGGAUAGCAGUCUGCAACUCGACUGCUUGAAGCUGGAAUCACUAGUAAUCGUGGAUCAGAUAUGCCACGGUGAAUACGU